rnacentral:rRNA from 1 species
GACGUAGGAUGCAAGCAUUGUCCGGAUUUAUUGGGCGUAAAGAGUUCGUAGGCGGUUUGUUAAGUCUAGUGUUAAAUAUCGGGGCUCAACCCCGGGACUGCAUUGGAUACUGGCAGACUCGAGUGUGGUAGAGGUAAGUGGAAUUUCUGGUGUAGCGGUGAAAUGCGUAGAUAUCAGAAAGAACACCAGUGGCGUAGGCGACUUACUGGGCCAUAACUGACGCUGAGGAACGAAAGCCAGGGGAGCAAAUGGG